GAUGAACGCUGGCGGCGCGCCUAACACAUGCAAGUCGAACGGCACCCCUCUCCGGAGGGAAGCGAGUGGCGAACGGCUGAGUAACACGUGGAGAACCUGCCCCCUCCCCCGGGAUAGCCGCCCGAAAGGACGGGUAAUACCGGAUACCCCGGGGUGCCGCAUGGCACCCCGGCUAAAGCCCCGACGGGAGGGGAUGGCUCCGCGGCCCAUCAGGUAGACGGCGGGGUGACGGCCCACCGUGCCGACAACGGGUAGCCGGGUUGAGAGACCGACCGGCCAGAUUGGGACUGAGACACGGCCCAGACUCCUACGGGAGGCAGCAGUGGGGAAUCUUGCGCAAUGGGGGGAACCCUGACGCAGCGACGCCGCGUGCGGGACGGAGGCCUUCGGGUCGUAAACCGCUUUCAGCAGGGAAGAGUCAAAACU
rnacentral:rRNA from 1 species